rnacentral:rRNA from 1 species
AGUGAACGCUGGCGGUAAGCCUAACACAUGCAAGUCGAACGGCAGCACAGUAAGAGCUUGCUCUUACGGGUGGCGAGUGGCGGACGGGUGAGGAAUACAUCGGAAUCUACUUUUUUGUGGGGGAUAACGUAGGGAAACUUACGCUAAUACCGCAUACGACCUACGGGUGAAAGCAGGGGAUCUUCGGACCUUGCGCGAUUGAAUGAGCCGAUGUCGGAUUAGCUAGUUGGCGGGGUAAAGGCCCACCAAGGCGACGAUCCGUAGCUGGUCUGAGAGGAUGAUCAGCCACACUGGAACUGAGACACGGUCCAGACUCCUACGGGAGGCAGCAGUGGGGAAUAUUGGACAAUGGGCGCAAGCCUGAUCCAGCCAUACCGCGUGGGUGAAGAAGGCCUUCGGGUUGUAAAGCCCUUUUGUUGGGAAAGAAAAGCAGCAGGUUAAUACCCCGCUGUUCUGACGGUACCCAAAGAAUAAGCACCGGCUAACUUCGUG